rnacentral:rRNA from 1 species
UACGAAGGGGGCUAGCGUUGCUCGGAAUUACUGGGCGUAAAGCGCGUGUAGGCUGCUUCAAAAGUCGGGUGUGAAAGCCCUGGGCUCAACCUAGGAAGUGCACUCGAAACUGCGGAGCUUGAGUCCUGGAGAGGAAGGCGGAAUUCUCGGUGUAGAGGUGAAAUUCGUAGAUAUCGAGAGGAACACCGGUGGCGAAGGCGGCCUUCUGGACAGUGACUGACGCUGAGACGGCGAAAGCGUGGGGAGCAAACAGGG